GACGAACCGUACGAACGUUAUUCGGAAUCACUGGGCUUAAAAGGGUGCGUAGGCGGCGCGACAAGUUGGGUGUGAAAUCCCCUCGGCUCAACCGUGGAACUGCUGGGUAUACUGGUUGUCUUGAGCCAGCUAGGGGCGAGCGGAACAGACGGUGGAGCGGUGAAAUGCGUAGAUAUCGUCUGGAACGCCGAAGGUGAAAACAGCUCGCUGGGGCUGCGCUGACGCUGAGACACGAAAGCCAGGGGAGCGAACGGG
rnacentral:rRNA from 1 species